GCUGCCUAAGUGGAUACAUAUUUGCAUUUUUCUGAGAUGGCAUCAAGAGGCUGCAAGCAUCUGGCAGACGCAUUUUGCGAUGUCUGCGGCCAAUUUAUCAAUACAGGAGCAAAAAAAUACUCUGUGGAAGCAUCUGCUACGAUGUGUGAGGCCUAGAAGGCAUAUUUCGCCAUGCCUGUUGGGAAUCAAGACAAACCCUGGGCACCUUAUUUUACCUGCGAGCAAUGCAAAAAAAAAACUCUGGAAGGAUGGGACAGAGGGGAAAAGAGAGCCAUGAAGCUCGCUAUCCCAAGAAUUUGGCGGGAACUCACUGACCACUCAAGCAACUGCUACUUCUGCAUGGUAGACCCUUCCAAACGUCGGACUUGCAAGAAUGCACCUGCUAUCACGUAUCCGGACCUUCCUUCAUCGCCCCGGUGCCACACUACCAUUAGCUCCCCGUUCCCACUCCUCCGGAGAGAGAGCAGCCUGUCUUUAGAAGAGAGCAGCAAGUCAGAGAGCGAGGAAGACUUGAUCAGAGAUCUUGGUCUCACCAAGUCCAAUGCCGAGCUUUUGACGUCUAGGCUUAAGCAGUGGAACUUGUUGGAUGAUAGUGUGCAAGUCGCAGAUCAGAGGAAGCGUCACCAACCUUUUAGCAGCUUCUUCACCCGUCAAGAUGGGCUCUGCUUCUGCCACAAUGUGACCAGUCUGUUCGAGGAAAUCGGAAUCGCCUGUAACCAGAAUGAGUGGCGCCUCUUCAUUGACAGCUCAUCCAGGAGCCUCAAAGCCGUGCUGCUCCAUAAUGGUAACAAGUACCCGUCUCUUCCCCUGGCUCACUCGGUGCACCUCAAAGAGGAUUACAACAGCAUCAAGACCUUGCUGGACCCCUUGAUGUAUGAUGAGUACAGCUAGGAGGUCAUUAGAGACUUCAAAAUGGUGGCAUUCCUGAUGGGUCUCCAAGGCGGUUUUACCAAGUUUCCCUGCUAUCUUUGCCCUUGGGACAGCAGGGACACCAAGGCGCUCUACCACAGGCGGGACUGGCCACAGCGGACCGAGUUCUCUGUGGGGACGAACAACGUCAAGUGGGAGCCACUGGUGGACCCCCAGAAGGCACCGUCACAGAAACGACCUCUCUCUUUGUGCCGAUAUGUGUCCUCUCUCUGUGUGUCCUUGUGAUGUCUGUCUGCUUGUAUGUCUGUCUAUAGUUUUCUAGUUAGAUUUUUGUUACUAUUUCUUUUGUGCCUGAUGAUGAUUGCUUGUGUUGCAAUCGAAACGUCGUAAUAUGCUAUUAUUUAAUUUAUUAUUUUAUAAAUUACCUUACAAGAAACGGAGCGUCCUUUUACAUUGUUUUAGGGGUUUUUUUUUAUAAGCUUGCAAGUUACUUAGCUCGUCAGGAUGUUAUGCACCUCACGACCAAAAUGGACAGGUGGUUACAAUAUCGAUGUUUGGUAGUCGUGUAUUUAUUUUGUUCAAAUUGAACAACAUUCUCACUCUAAUAAUAAGAGCGCGUAAAUAUAAAUGUGUCGUGAAACCCGUCACCACCCGGCACAGCUGUGACCUCACUCUGACCUCACUCUGACCUCACGCUGACCUCACUAUCACUUCACUAUGACCUCACCUAUGACCUCACUGUGACGUCACUCUCACAUCACUAUGACCUCACUCUGACCUCACUGACCUCACUCUGACCUCACCUAUGACCUCACGCUGACCUCACCUAUGACCUCACUCACGAUGACCUCACUCUUACCUCACUAUGACCUCACUCUGACCUCACCUAUGACCUCACCUAUGACCUCACCUCACCUAUGACCUCACCUAUG